rnacentral:rRNA from 1 species
CCUACGGGAGGCAGCAGUGAGGAAUAUUGGUCAAUGGACGAGAGUCUGAACCAGCCAUGUAGCGUGAAGGAUGACUGCCCUAUGGGUUGUAAACUUCUUUUAUAUGGGAAUAAAACAGGGUAUGCAUACCCUCUUGUAUGUACCAUAUGAAUAAGGAUCGGCUAACUCCGUGCCAGCAGCCGCGGUAAUACGGAGGAUCCGAGCGUUAUCCGGAUUUAUUGGGUUUAAAGGGAGCGUAGGUGGAUUGUUAAGUCAGUUGUGAAAGUUUGCGGCUCAACCGUAAAAUUGCAGUUGAAACUGGCGGUCUUGAGUACAGUAGAGGUGGGCGGAAUUCGUGGUGUAGCGGUGAAAUGCUUAGAUAUCACGAAGAACUCCGAUUGCGAAGGCAGCUCACUAGACUGCAACUGACACUGAGGCUCGAAAGUGUGGGUAGCAAACAGGAUUAGAUACCCGAGUAGUC